UUACAGCCAUAUCACGUUGAAACACCAAUUCCCAUACGAUUACUGAAAUUAAGCAAUGUUGAGCUUGGUCAGUACAUAGAUGGGUGACUACUUGGAAAUAUCAGAUGCUGUA